rnacentral:rRNA from 1 species
CCUACGGGCGGCAGCAGUGGGGAAUAUUGGACAAUGGGGGCAACCCUGAUCCAGCCAUGCCGCGUGUGUGAAGAAGGCCCUCGGGUUGUAAAGCACUUUCAGUGAGGAAGAACGCCUGGUGGUUAAUACCCAUCAGGAAAGACAUCACUCACAGAAGAAGCACCGGCUAACUCCGUGCCAGCAGCCGCGGUAAUACGGAGGGUGCGAGCGUUAAUCGGAAUUACUGGGCGUAAAGCGCGCGUAGGUGGCUUGAUAAGCCGGUUGUGAAAGCCCCGGGCUCAACCUGGGAACGGCAUCCGGAACUGUCAAGCUAGAGUGCAGGAGAGGAAGGUAGAAUUCCCGGUGUAGCGGUGAAAUGCGUAGAGAUCGGGAGGAAUACCAGUGGCGAAGCCGGCCUUCUGGACUGACACUGACACUGAGGUGCGAAAGCGUGGGUAGCAAACAGGAUUAGAUACCCUAGUAGUC